CCCGGGUGGUGUUCACAGAGAGACAGUUGAAUGUUCUUGUCCAUCACUUUAAUGCAAAACAUUACUAUGAGCCAAGAGAGAUGAAACAGCUGGCAGAGAUGACAGGACUGACCUACAAACAGGUAAAAACUUGGUUUCAAAACAGACGGAGUAAGUUUAGGAGGAGUUCACAUCCUCAGCAUGUGAAUCAGGGCGUCCCACUUCAUUUUCAGGGAGAGGGACAGCCGCCACUCA